GGAGGUCCCGAACCGUCUGCAUCCACGGCCCCGGUGAGUUCAGCUCUGAUUGUGGACGAGUCUCCAGGCUCCUUGCCGCAGGGGUGGCUCUGUGUACCCCACGCAGUGACCUUUCCUGUCGCAUGCCCAUGCAGGGUCUCGGGGCCAGGACGUCGCCACACCUUCGUGCUCUCUCUCAUCUGGUCCUCCGAUUUCCUGAGGUCACGAAGUGGUUCAAGGAGCGAACAGGACAAUGGCAGCUAAAUAUAACAGUGUCAGGGUGAAGAGCCCGGCUCUGGAAACUUGCCACCGGCCAAACAUUCUCUCUUCUAGCACAUUCCAGCUGCGUGACUUUGGGGAGCACGAUGGGAAGAGCUUAUGCCUGAGCCCCUCCCUCAUGGGCCACUCUUCCAGCAGAAAUGGAACAUCAGCUCUGCUCAGGCCUCGAACCCGGGCUGAUGUCAGCAGCACCACCUCUCAUGGUGGAGCGGGCGGCCGCAGACCCCUCUCCCAGCUCGCAGAGCCUCUGGGAUCCCCAGCCUCACCCGCCUCAAGCCUUUGCAGGAGCUGCGCCCUCUUGCUCGAACACCCCUUCUCCUGACUGCCAGGGACUGUCACCUUCUCUGCAUCCAGGUCUCCACUUGGAGGUCACCUCCCCUCACCGAGAGAGGCCU